rnacentral:rRNA from 1 species
UACGUAGGGGGCAAGCGUUAUCCGGAAUUACUGGGUGUAAAGGGUGAGUAGGCGGCAUGGUAAGCCAGAUGUGAAAGCCUUGGGCUUAACCCGAGGAUUGCAUUUGGAAUUAUCAAGCUAGAGUACAGGAGAGGAAAGCGGAAUUCCUAGUGUAGCGGUGAAAUGCGUAGAUAUUAGGAAAAACACCAGUGGCGAAGGCGGCUUUCUGGACUGGAACUGACGCUGAGGCACGAAAGUGUGGGGAGCAAACAGG